rnacentral:rRNA from 1 species
CAAUAGCGUAUAUUAAAGUUGUUGCGGUAAAAAAGCUCGUAGUUGGAUUUCUACCGAAGAUAGCCGGUCGGGUCUUCGACCUUGUAUCUGGUUUUGUCUUUGGUAUCCUCAUAGGGAACGUUUCUGAGCUUUAUUGCGUGGUGCGGUAUCUAUGACUUUUACUUUGAGGAAAUUAGAGUGUUCACGGCAGGCAAACGCCUUGAAUAUAUUAGCAUGGAAUAAUAACAUAGGAUCUUCGUCCUAUUUUGUUGGUUUCUAGGGCUAAGAUAAUGAUUAAUAGGGAUAAUUGGGGGCAUCUGUAUCAACGCGUCAGAGGUGGAAUUCUUGGAUUGCGUUGCGACAAACUACUGCGAAAGCAUUUGCCAAGGAUGUUUUCAUUGA